rnacentral:rRNA from 1 species
GACGAACGCUGGCGGCGUGCCUAAUACAUGCAAGUCGAGCGAAGUUUUUCUGGUGCUUGCACUAGAAAAACUUAGCGGCGAACGGGUGAGUAACACGUAAAGAACCUGCCUCAUAGACUGGGACAACUAUUGGAAACGAUAGCUAAUACCGGAUAACAGCAUUAACUGCAUGGUUGAUGUUUAAAAGUUGGUUUUGCUAACACUAUGAGAUGGCUUUGCGGUGCAUUAGCUAGUUGGUGGGGUAAAGGCCUACCAAGGCGACGAUGCAUAGCCGACCUGAGAGGGUGAUCGGCCACACUGGGGCUGAGACACGGCCCAGACUCCUACGGGAGGCAGCAGUAGGGAAUCUUCCGCAAUGGGCGAAAGCCUGACGGAGCAACGCCGCGUGAGUGAAGAAGGAUUUCGGUUCGUAAAGCUCUGUUGUUAGGGAAGAAUGAUUGUGUAGUAACUAUACACAGUAGAGACGGUACCUAACCAGAAAGCCACGGCUAACUACGUG